rnacentral:tRNA from 1 species
GGGGGUGUAGCUCAGUGGUGCGGCACCUGCCUGGCAAGCUUGAGGCCCUGAGUUUGAUUCCCACUAGCCCCA